rnacentral:rRNA from 1 species
CUAGGAAUCUUGGGAAUGGGCGAAAGCCUGACCCAGCAACGCCGCGUGGGCGAUGAAGGCCUUCGGGUCGUAAAGCCCUUUUGUAGGGGAAGAUUAUGACGGUACCCUGCGAAUAAGCCACGGCUAACUACGUGCCAGCAGCCGCGGUAAUACGUAGGUGGCAAGCGUUGUCCGGAUUUACUGGGCGUAAAGGGCGUGCAGGCGGUCUGCUAAGUCUAGGGUGAAAGCUCCCGGCUCAACUGGGAGAGGUCCUUGGAUACUGGCGGACUUGAGGGAGGUAGAGGAGAGUGGAAUUCCCGGUGUAGUGGUGAUAUGCGUAGAUAUCGGGAGGAACACCAGUGGCGAAGGCGGCUCUCUGGGCCUUUCCUGACGCUGAGACGCGAAAGCGUGGGGAGCGAACCG